rnacentral:rRNA from 1 species
CUACGGGAGGCAGCAGUGGGGAAUAUUGCACAAUGGGCGCAAGCCUGAUGCAGCGACGCCGCGUGGGGGAUGACGGCCUUCGGGUUGUAAACCUCUUUCAGUACAGACGAAGCGCAAGUGACGGUAUGUACAGAAGAAGCACCGGCCAACUGCGUGCCAGCAGCCGCGGUAAUACGUAGGGUGCGAGCGUUGUCCGGAAUUACUGGGCGUAAAGAGCUCGUAGGUGGUUUGUCGCGUUGUUCGUGAAAACCUGAGGCUUAACCUUGGGCGUGCGGGCGAUACGGGCAGACUGGAGUACUGCAGGGGAGACUGGAAUUCCUGGUGUAGCGGUGGAAUGCGCAGAUAUCAGGAGGAACACCGGUGGCGAAGGCGGGUCUCUGGGCAGUAACUGACGCUGAGGAGCGAAAGCGUGGGGAGCGAACAGGAUUAGAAACCCUGGUAGUCC